GUCAAAGUGAAGAAAUUCAACGAAGCGCGGGUAAACGGCGGGAGUA
rnacentral:rRNA from 1 species